rnacentral:tRNA from 1 species
GGAGUUAUAGCUCAGUGGUAGAGCUCGUGCUUAGCUGGCGUGCACAAGGUCCUGGGUUCAAUCCCCAGUGCCUCCA